rnacentral:miRNA from 1 species
UGUAUAUAUGUGUGCAUGCAUGCAUGCAUGCAUGCAUGUGUGUGUGUGUGUGUGUGUGUGUGUGUG